AGUGAACGCUGGCGGUAGGCCUAACACAUGCAAGUCGAACGGCAGCACAGUAAGAGCUUGCUCUUACGGGUGGCGAGUGGCGGACGGGUGAGGAAUACAUCGGAAUCUACUUUUUCGUGGGGGAUAACGUAGGGAAACUUACGCUAAUACCGCAUACGACCUACGGGUGAAAGCAGGGGAUCUUCGGACCUUGCGCGAUUGAAUGAGCCGAUGUCGGAUUAGCUAGUUGGCGGGGUAAAGGCCCACCAAGGCGGCGAUCCGUAGCUGGUCUGAGAGGAUGAUCAGCCACACGGGAACUGAGACACGGUCCAGACUCCUACGGGAGGCAGCAGUGGGGAAUAUUGGACAAUGGGCGCAAGCCUGAUCCAGCCAGACCGCGUGGGUGAAGAAGGCCUUCGGGUUGUAAAGCCCUUUUGUUGGGAAAGAAAAGCAGCAGGUUAAUACCCCGCUGUUCUGACGGUACCCAAAGAAUAAGCACCGGCUAACUUCGUG
rnacentral:rRNA from 1 species